CAAUAGCGUAUAUUAAAGUUGUUGCAGUUAAAAAGCUCGUAGUUGGAUUUCUGGUAGGAGCGACCGUGCCGAACUUGAUUGUUCGAGUAUUGUGUUGUCUUCAGCCAUCCUCGUGGAGAACUUUUCUAACAUUAACUUGUUGGGAUUGGGACCCGCGUCGUUUACUGUGAAAAAAUUAGAGUGUUUAAAGCAGGCAUUAGCUUGAAUACAUUAGCAUGGAAUAAUAAGAUAGGACUUUGGUACUAUUUUGUUGGUUUGCAUACCAAAUUAAUGACCAACAGGAACAGUUUGAGGUUAUUCGUAUGAACAUGUCAGAGGUGAAAUUCUUGGAUUUUGAUCAGACGAACUACUGCGAAAGCAUUUAUCAAGGAUGUUUUCAUUAA
rnacentral:rRNA from 1 species